rnacentral:rRNA from 1 species
UACGGAGGGUGCAAGCGUUAGUCGGAAUUACUGGGCGUAAAGGGUGCGUAGGCUGGGAUGUAAGUCAGAUGUGAAAAACCAAAGCUCAACUUUGGCAGUGCAUCUGAAACUGCAAUUCUAGAGGGAUAGCGGAGAAAACGGAAUUCCACGUGUAGCGGUGAAAUGCGUAGAUAUGUGGAAGAACACCUGUGGCGAAAGCGGUUUUCUAGCUUUCCCCUGACGCUGAGGCACGAAAGCAAGGGGAGCAAACAGG